GGUGCGUACGUGUAGCCUACGAGUGUUUGCAUCGCCGGUCAUUUCUACCAACUUCGUGCCAAGGAAAAACAGAACUUCAAAUUUGUAUCAGGACCUACCAGCCGUUGAAGUGUCGCCACACAUGAUGUCCCGAUUGUCAGUAGCUUCGCUGGGAUUUGCCCUCCUUGUUUUGGCGGGAAUCUGUUUCGUCUGUUCCUUGGCGCAAAUGGACGAACAGCCGGAGGUCUUAAAAGUGAGGCACCCGUAUUAUUAUGACUGGAACAUCAUGGAGCGCAGGGGACUUGGGGCCCGAGAGCAGUGCACCGGACAAGGCAAAGCGUGCACACCAAGGAUCACACGGUGCUGCGGCCGUAUGGGUUGCUAUGACUACGACGGGGAGAAGUGUGACGUCUCAAGGGAAAGAUGCAUCUGCCGAAAUCGUCAAUAUACCGUGGAUUAUUAUCAUUAUUAGGUUUGUUUAACCUCGGUAGUCUUACAAUCAAUCGGUAGUAUGAUGCAAUUGGACAUGUGAAGCGCAUGUUUUUAUUACCUCCACCGAUCGGAAGUUAUGUUUUUUAUCGGCGUUGGUUUGUUUGUUUGUGGGUUAGUUUCUUGGUUGGUUGGAUGGUUGGUUUGUCGGAUAACAAGAUAACUGAAAAAGUUACCGACGGCUUUUCUGAAGAAAAAAUAGGGGUGGUCCUUGGUACAAAUACAAAUCUAUU